AGCAUGGUGGUGCAGUGGUUUGCACUGUUGCCCUAAAAAGGAAGGUUCCAGGUUUGAGUCCUGGCUGGUCAG